UACGAAGGGUGCAAGCGUUACUCGGAAUCACUGGGCGUAAAGCGUGCGUAGGCGGUUUCUUAAGUCUGUCGUGAAAGCCCUGGGCUCAACCUGGGAACGGCGAUGGAUACUGGGAAGCUAGAAUGUGAGAGAGGAUGGUGGAAUUCCCGGUGUAGCGGUGAAAUGCGUAGAGAUCGGGAGGAACACCAGUGGCGAAGGCGGCCAUCUGGCGCAACAUUGACGCUGAGGCACAAAAGCGUGGGGAGCAAACAGG
rnacentral:rRNA from 1 species